rnacentral:rRNA from 1 species
UACGGGAGGCAGCAGUGGGGAAUAUUACACAAUGGGCGCAAGCCUGAUGCAGCCAUGCCGCGUGUAUGAAGAAGGCCUUCGGGUUGUAAAGUACUUUCAGCGGGGAGGAAGGCGAUGCGGUUAAUAACCGCGUCGAUUGACGUUACCCGCAGAAGAAGCACCGGCUAACUCCGUGCCAGCAGCCGCGGUAAUACGGAGGGUGCAAGCGUUAAUCGGAAUUACUGGGCGUAAAGCGCACGCAGGCGGUCUGUUAAGUCAGAUGUGAAAAUCCCCCGGGGCUUAACCUGGGAACUGCAUUUUGAAACUGGCAGGCUUGAGUCUUGUAGAGGGGGUUAGAAUUCCAGGUGUAGCGGUGAAAUGCGUAGAGAUCUGGAGGAAUACCGGUGGCGAAGGCGGCCCCCUGGGACAAAGACUGACGCUCAGGUGCGAAAGCGUGGGGAGCAAACAGGGAUUAGAUACC